rnacentral:tRNA from 1 species
GAGGGAAUGGCUCAGUGGUAGAGUACGUGCUUAACAUGCACAAGGCCCUGGGUUCAAUCCUCAAUACCUCCA